AAGAAAGUUUUAAUAAUUUACACUAAAAAAUACACAUACACACAAAACACACACCAACAGACGUACAUAUCACUUUCCCUCUCCUUUCUCUCUUUCUCUCUCCCAAACUCACCGCCGCCGGUACCAAUGGCUCGCCGGAGGUAGUGACCGGCGAGUUCCAAUCAGCCGAGUUCCCUUUCCCUUCUCCCUUUUACCCUACUGCUGCUCGACGCCGGUAAAAUAUAAGCGACGCACAAAUCAGCCGGUGAACUCCAUCACUGCUCCGGCCAGAUCUGGACGAAAUGAUCCAAGAUCCGAGCUCCGACACACCACACCGAUGCUGUCCACCAAAAAUAGCCCAGAUCUGGUCGUGUUUUAUUUUUCCGGCGAUUGCCGUUGAAGCAACGCCGGUGACCCAUUCCCUAUUGGUCUCUAUUUUUAUUUGAUUUCAUAUUUGGCAGCAGCCAUGGCCAUGAUACCAAAAAAAGAGCUCAAAUUUGGGUGAGUCCCCACUAACGCCGGCGACCCCUCGACUCGUUAAUGUCUUUUUCAUAUAAGUUUGGACAUAUUUUUGUGUUCUCAUAUGUUUUUUUUUUAUGAUUUGCUAGACUGUUUUGAUUCUGAUGAUUUGGUAUAAUUUUGCCGGAUAAUAUUACUCACUGGAUUGCUGCUUGCUUAUGUUGCUCUGAUAAAAAAAUCAGGUAUGACAAUGCUUAUCAAUUCAGCAAGAGAGAUGACAGAGAGAUCUUUAGACUCUUCUAAAGUGGAGAUUUUGGACUCAAAUCUUUCAGGAAAAGUCACCAAAAUUUUUCAACUAUUUUAUUGUCUUUAAAAUCUUUGCCAAACAAUCUGAUUAUAUUGACAAUAAAAGAAAUUCUAUCAGAAUACUUAAUAAUUGUCUCACCUUCUUGCAUCCUAAGAGAUUCAAAAUCUUUUUUUUAAAUUCAGAGUUUGAUUUUGUCUACCUCGUUUACUUCCUUGGUGCUCCUUUUCAAACUUUUCUUAAGCUUCUUUUGUUGUUUCGCAUGCAAUGAUUUUUGAAAAAAUUGAAUCAACAACUGAAUUUUGAAUUACAAUUUUUUCUUUAUAUUUUUUUUUAUUUCUCUUUUGAGUAAAGUUUGAUUUCGGCAGCAGAAGAUUUAGCUGUGAGUGGUUGUAUAGGUUUCUCUUUCUUUACAACUUCCGACAAAUCAUAAGCUUCAAAUUAAAAUUUUAUCUUAACUGCCCAAAUUUGAUAAUUUUCACCAGUGAAGUUUGUGGAGAAAAUUGAAGGAGAGAUGUCUUUUAAGUCUUGAAUGAAGGAUUGGUGACAUUGACCAACUUAAAGGGUCAAACAUUAUUAGAAAACUUGAUUAAGUUAAUUGUGAACUUGAUUAAUAUUUUCAAAACUUUCUAAUCUUUUAAAAAAUACAAAUCAACCUAACCCACACCCCUUUUCAAUCCAAAUCAACCAGUCUCUCUUCUCUUUCUCGAUAGUUUCUCUCAACUCUCUCUCAACCAACAGUUUUGCAAAUUUCUCCUUUCAAUCCUCCGCAACUUCAACAUCUGACAACAAAUAGUUGGGAUUCGAGUUCCUUUUCGACUUCAACCUUCAAUCGAUGUGACAGCCUUACUCUCUGGCCACAACAGCUUCGAAUUCUUCAACCUUCAAUCGACGUGACAGCCUUGCUCUCCGGCCACAACAGCUUCGAAUUCAUCAUCGUUCCUUUUCUUCUUUCACAGAUUAUCCUUCUGGUGCAACAUAUAACCAUCCGAUGCAACAGAUUUGUCAGAUGAUGCAAUAGAUCAACCAUCUGAUGCACUAGAGGAACCAUCAGAUUAUAAUUUUGAUGCAACAGAUUUAACAUAUGAUGCAAUAGUUAAACUAUUUGAUUCAACAUAUUAACCAUAUGUUGCAACAGAUUAAGAAUUGGAUAAAAAAUCUGAUGCAACUAAUUAACCAUCUGAUGCAACGGAAGAACCAUCAAAUUAAUGUUCUGAUGCAACAGAUGCACCUCUUGUUGGAUAAAAUCAUAUCAACUCUUCCAACAGGACAUGUCCAAGACAUGAUUUUUUCAACUGAUCAUUCAUCUGCCGCGAUAGACGACCCUAUGUUGGAAGAAAUCUAAACAAUAUUGACCGUUGAUAAUUGUUCCAACAGAUCACUCAUGUGUUGCAACAGAAGUAUGACCUAUUACACUGACUAUUCAUCUUUCUCAAUGGAUGAGUGAUAUGUUUUGUAUUGUCACAACAGAUUACUUAGUCGUUGUUGGAGGUUAGUUAACUGUUCCAACUUAUCACUCAUAUGUUGCAAUAGAUGUGUGAUCUGCUGCAUAAACCAUUCAUUUUUCUCAACAGAUGAGUGAUAUAUUUUGUAUUAUUGCAACAGAUUACUCAUCCGUUGCAAUAUGUUAUUUAACUGUUCCAACUGAUCACUCAUGUUGCAAUAAUGUGUGAUCUGUUGCACAGACCAUUCAUCUAUCUUAAAAGAUGAGUGAUACAUUUUGUAUUGUUGCAACAGAUUGCUCACCUGCUGCAACAGGUUUGUUAUAUACUGCAACAGAUAUACUACCUGUGCAACAGAUAAGUAACUUGUUGGAACUGUUAUUUUACUGUUUUGCUUGUUAGAUUUACUAUUAUCCUUUUUUAACGAUACAUUAAUCAA